GACGAACGCUGGCGGCGUGCUUAACACAUGCAAGUCGAACGGUGAAGCGAGUGCUUGCACUCGUGGAUCAGUGGCGAACGGGUGAGUAACACGUGAGUAACCUGCCCAUCACUCUGGGAUAAGCACUGGAAACGGUGUCUAAUACUGGAUACGACCAACCCUUGCAUGGGGUGUUGGUGGAAAGAUUUAUCGGUGAUGGAUGGACUCGCGGCCUAUCAGCUUGUUGGCGGGGUAAUGGCCCACCAAGGCGACGACGGGUAGCCGGCCUGAGAGGGUGACCGGCCACACUGGGACUGAGACACGGCCCACACUCCUACGGGAGGCAGCAGUGGGGAAUAUUGCACAAUGGGCGAAAGCCUGAUGCAGCGACGCCGCGUGAGGGAUGACGGCCUUCGGGUUGUAAACCUCUUUCAGCAGGGAAGAAGCGAAAGUGACGGUACCUGCAGAAGAAGCACCGGCUAACUACGUG
rnacentral:rRNA from 1 species